AGCAUGAUAUCGUCAGGCUCUCAGCACACCAAUGUGUGAGCAGUUCAGCCUGCAGCAGAGGAGGGCACGGCAGCAGAGACACGCACAUGCACUCCUGUGUGUGUGAAUAUAUUCCACAUAUUUUAAAAACAUACUGAGAAGGGUCUACGGACUUCAACAGACUGCCAGAGUGAUCGAUGGCUCAAAACCGUUUUCUAAACCAUCUCAGAGAAGACAGGCUGAUUCCUCUUGUGGUCAGAAGUUGGCUGCAGUCUUUCCAGGCAUCCCAUCCAGAAAUGACAAUGUCCAAAGGAAGAAUCUUGCAUCUCUUGUCAAGAAUGAAGAAACAACCGUGGUCUCCCCUGAAGAAUAAGCCCUCUGAAAGUGGAUAGCUGAACAAUGUCAGGUUCUUUUAGGAGGGUCAAAGGAGAAAUGGCUGUUGGAUACGCAUUAAAUAAACUUUGCUUACAAUUCUCAUUUAGAA
rnacentral:sRNA from 1 species